rnacentral:rRNA from 1 species
CCUACGGGAGGCAGCAGUGAGGAAUAUUGCGCAAUGGCCGAAAGGCUGACGCAGCGACGCCGCGUGAGGGAUGAAGUCCGUUAGGAUGUAAACCUCUUUUGCAGGGGAUGAAUGUUCCCGAUUUAUCGGGACUUGACCGUACCCUGCGAAUAAGGAUCGGCCAACUACGUGCCAGCAGCCGCGGUAAUACGUAGGUGGCUAGCGUUAUCCGGAUUCACUGGGCGUAAAGCGCGUGCAGGCGGUUCCGUAAGUCGGACGUGAAAGCUCCUGGCUUAACUGGGAGAGGUCGUUCGAUACUGCGGGGCUUGAGGUCGGGAGAGGGACGUGGAAUUCCCGGUGUAGUGGUGGAAUGCGUAGAUAUCGGGAGGAACACCAGUGGCGAAGGCGGCGUCCUGGCCCGCACCUGACGCUAAGACGCGAAAGCGUGGGUAGCGAACGGGAUUAGAUACCCCGGUAGUCCACGCUGUAAACGGUGGAUACUAGGUGUUGGUGGCUAUCGUCAUCAGUGCCGUAGCUAACGCGUUAAGUAUCCCGCCUGGGGACUACGGCCGCAAGGCUAAAACUCAAAGGAAUUGACGG